GUUAACCGUUUGGUUUGAAUUCAUGUGAGAUACUUCAAAUUUUUAAUUAAAAUAUUUUACUCAUGUUAUUUUUCUGUUUUAAACUUGAAAAAUGUAUUCCCCUUGAAUUGUCUAGGAUUAAAUAACCAACAGACACGGAGGCUGUCUUGGAAGAUAUAUUUUUUAUAUUACAAUUGUUAACAGGUAUAAUUGUUUAUGUUUAUAUAUAUAUGAACCCCCCGUUUGAAUUAUGAAAUUCAAAUGAAAAUUUCUCAAUGCAUAUUACAUUUUAAAAUGAAAUAUUAAUUAAAAUGAGUAGACAUAAAAAGCGUCAAUUUUAUUAUAUUACAUACGACAUAAAAAUACAAAUGUAAAAAAAAACGUUUUUGACUUAACAAAAAAUAAGUACUUAUAAAAAUUGACCCAUUUUUUUACAGUACAAAGUUAGGAACGGUUUUAAAGAAUACAAGUUCUUUGACCGAAAUAUCCUCCGGAAUGUUAAUCCGGUAACACCAUGUGGUGAACUACAUCCGGUCGUACUGCUCGUACAUCCGUUUUUCAUAAAGGGAUUUCCUCGCACCGUUAAUUUGUUCAUUUGUCCCGCUCCCUGCUCUCUAACCAUGCGGCUGCUGUUCCUGGCCGUCAUGGCGGCUCUCUCCUUCGGCCCCGCCGUGGUCAGCGGAGCUGACAAGAAGAAGCUGCAGAUCGGGAUCAAGAAGCGAGUGGACAACUGUCCCAUCAAGUCCCGCAAGGGCGACGUGCUGAACAUGCACUACACCGGCAGGCUGGAGGACGGGACGGAGUUCGACAGCAGCAUUCCCCGCGGCCAGCCGUUCACCUUCACCCUGGGAACCGGCCAGGUGAUCAAGGGCUGGGACCAGGGCCUGCUUGGCAUGUGCGAGGGCGAGAAGAGGAAGCUGGUCAUCCCGGCGGAGCUAGGCUACGGAGACCGCGGAGCUCCGCCGAAGAUCCCCGGAGGAGCGACGCUGAUCUUCGAGGUGGAGCUGCUGAGCAUCGAAAGGAGGUCGGACCUUUGACGGAGAGAUAAAGGACGCCUUGAAAGAAAUUUAUAAUGGGAAGAAAAUCCAGAAAUAUAACUCAAGAUCCAAGAAUUGCUGCUGCAUUAAAUGGAGACCAUCUGACUUAAGAAGAAUGAUCAAGAAGAUUAAAAUGAAAACCAGGGAAAUGAAUCUAAACCCCAGCAGAGCCUCUGUUCUGCUUUUAGUAGGACUCAAAUGAUGACAUCAUGUAAUAAACAAUGAGAUUAGGCAGUAAAGUCCAGCUUUUGUUCAGGAUGACAUCACACCACUUCAUCUGUUUGUUUUUGCUUCAUGAAAAUUUGUUUACUUCCAUUUCUACAUUCCUCUUUCACAAAUGAUUGACAGUAAAUCAGGUAAAACUGAGGCAGGGGCCAAGUGAUUAUGAGUAAUUUUUGUUUUGUAAUUACAAUAAAUUGUUUCCCUAACUUUUUCUUUUUAA